rnacentral:rRNA from 1 species
GAUGAACGCUGGCGGCGUGCCUAAUACAUGCAAGUCGAGCGAACAGAUGAGGAGCUUGCUCCUCUGACGUUAGCGGCGGACGGGUGAGUAACACGUGGAUAACCUACCUAUAAGACUGGGAUAACUUCGGGAAACCGGAGCUAAUACCGGAUAAUAUAUUGAACCGCAUGGUUCAAUAGUGAAAGACGGUUUUGCUGUCACUUAUAGAUGGAUCCGCGCCGCAUUAGCUAGUUGGUAAGGUAACGGCUUACCAAGGCAACGAUGCGUAGCCGACCUGAGAGGGUGAUCGGCCACACUGGAACUGAGACACGGUCCAGACUCCUACGGGAGGCAGCAGUAGGGAAUCUUCCGCAAUGGGCGAAAGCCUGAAGGAGCAACGCCGCGUGAGUGAUGAAGGUCUUCGGAUCGUAAAACUCUGUUAUUGGGGAAGAACAAAUGUGUAAGUAACUAUGCACGUCUUGACGGUACCUAAUCAGAAAGCCACGGCUAACUACGUG